GUGCUUGUGUUGGCAGCAGGUAUACUAAAAUUGGAAUGAUACAGAGAAGAUUAGCACGGCCCCUACGCAAGGAUGGCACGCCAAUUUGUGAAGAACAAAUACUGCCU